GAUGAACGCUAGCGGCAGGCCUAACACAUGCAAGUCGAGGGGUAGAGUUCUUCGGGACUUGAGACCGGCGCACGGGUGCGUAACGCGUAUGCAAUCUACCUUAUACAGGGGAAUAGCCCAGAGAAAUUUGGAUUAAUGCCCCAUAGUGUUAUCGAAUCGCAUGGUUUGAUAACUAAAGUUCCAACGGUAUAAGAUGAGCAUGCGUCCCAUUAGUUAGUUGGUAAGGUAACGGCUUACCAAGACAAUGAUGGGUAGGGGUCCUGAGAGGGAGAUCCCCCACACUGGUACUGAGACACGGACCAGACUCCUACGGGAGGCAGCAGUGAGGAAUAUUGGUCAAUGGGCGCAAGCCUGAACCAGCCAUGCCGCGUGCAGGAAGACGGUCCUAUGGAUUGUAAACUGCUUUUAUUGGGAAUAAACCUAUUUACGUGUAGAUAGCUGAAGGUACCAAAUGAAUAAGCACCGGCUAAACUCCGUG
rnacentral:rRNA from 1 species